AUUGAACGCUGGCGGCAGGCCUAACACAUGCAAGUCGAACGGUAGCACAGAGAGCUUGCUCUCGGGUGACGAGUGGCGGACGGGUGAGUAACGUCUGGGAAACUGCCCGAUGGAGGGGGAUAACUACUGGAAACGGUAGCUAAUACCGCAUAACGUCGCAAGACCAAAGUGGGGGACCUUCGGGCCUCACACCAUCGGAUGUGCCCAGAUGGGAUUAGCUAGUAGGUGGGGUAAUGGCUCACCUAGGCGACGAUCCCUAGCUGGUCUGAGAGGAUGAACAGCCCCACUGGAACUGAGACACGGUCCAGACUCCUACGGGAGGCAGCAGUGGGGAAUAUUGCACAAUGGGCGCAAGCCUGAUGCAGCCAUGCCGCGUGUAUGAAGAAGGCCUUCGGGUUGUAAAGUACUUUCAGCGGGGAGGAAGGCGGUGGAGUUAAUAACUUCACCGAUUGACGUUACCCGCAGAAGAAGCACCGGCUAACUCCGUGCCAGCAGCCGCCGUAA
rnacentral:rRNA from 1 species